rnacentral:rRNA from 1 species
UACGUAGGGAGCAAGCGUUGUCCGGAAUUAUUGGGCGUAAAGAGCUCGUAGGCGGCCUGUUGCGUCCGCUGUGAAAGCCCGGGGCUUAACCCCGGGUCGGCAGUGGAUACGGGCAGGCUAGAGGUAGGUAGGGGAGAAUGGAAUUCCCGGUGUAGCGGUGAAAUUCGUAGAUAUUGGGAAGAACACCGGUGGCGAAGGCGGCGAGCUGGUCCAUUACUGACGCUGAGGCGCGACAGCGUGGGGAGCAAACAGG